rnacentral:rRNA from 1 species
ACCGAACGUCCGGGACCAGGACCCAAAACAUGCCAUGCGGAUUAGUUCGCGC